rnacentral:lncRNA from 1 species
GCUGCCCUGACUGAUUGGGGAGCUAAAUCUCUUGCAGCGGGCAUAUUUGGGAAUCCAUUGUUGCUGCACAUGUAAACCAUGGCCUUCAAAUCCAGCUGACCCUGUAGCAGAAACACAGAACUUGGUUACCAGUGAUUUUUAUCUGCAUUGGAUCUACUUUAUUAAACCCCACAGCCUGAAUAGCAGCUACUAGGGUAGUGCCAGUGGAUGUAUAUGGAGACUGGGCUGGAAUGGCUGAGUGUGUGGGUGCACAGCUGGGAGCAGCCAUGGCAGUAAGUAGACAGCCAGUAACUUCUGAUAAAAGGGAGUAUCUGAAAACUGAAAGGCCCCAUAGGAAUGCCAACAACAUUUCAGAAGUUUUCAACCCAAAUUAAAGAUGAAAAAAGUG